GCCACGCUUCGCACAUGCUCAGUAACUCGGCCUCCCCCCCACCCUCCUCAGCCACCACUCCCUCCGCCCCCAGGGCUUUGGGUGUGGGGCGACUGGGUGGUGCGGUUUGUGAAAGAAAUCCACUUCUCCGGGAUUUCCUAGCAGCUUGAGGAAGAGUGAGGACAGUGUUGGGCAAGGCUGCCUGCUACCGGCGUUUCAGGUUUCUACAAGAGGGGAAAAAAGAACUACCCAGAAUCCCAUCCAUGAGAUGGAAGGGUCGGAGAUGAGUGUCAUGAAACAAGGUUGGGUUCAGCAUGACCUAUUGAAAGGCUACCCCUAAGGCGGUCAGCACAGAGAAGAAAGGGCCCUUUCAGAGGUCUGAUGCACAGAAAAAAAAUCCAAUGUGGAGGCAAUGGAAAUGGAGGAUGACCCCAGAUUUGGGGAGAAUAAUGGAAUCACUGAGAUGAGGAACCCGUGAAAAGAAGGUGAUUACAGGACGGGAGGCUCAUAAAAGAUCGAAUCCAGGAAGCCUCCAGAGUAGCGGUCAACCAGAUGCUUCUCCAUCCAUACAUGCCUGUCCCUGCGGAGCCCCAAGAUACCCCCAGCGGCCCCUGUAGACGACAUCCCCAAUCAGCAGGAAGUAACCAGAGAGACUCAUCAUCACCCCUUUUCCUAUCAUCAAGAGAUCGGGAUGGUAGCUUCGGGAUCUGCAGGAGAGAAGGCCCACACUCCCGGGAAUGGAGAGUCUCUACCGGCAAUUCCUGGAUUGAAAAGUCCUUGCCAAGGUCCCUGCAUGUGCCUAAAGGUCAACCAGUGAGGAUCAGACAUGCCUCAACCUUUAACCCCCAUGCCCUGUAUCUAUAAAAGGAGCCCUCCUAACCUCUGAUGCACGACUUCCCAGGGCCUGCUGUUGGGACCAGGGAACCUCGCCCGGGAGCAGAAUCCCAAUAAAAGCCUGUAAAUUGAGAAAAAAAAAAAAAAGAAAGAAAGAAAAGAAGAUUGCAUGUAGUAUUUUAUGUAGAGCCAGGAAUGGACGUGGCUUCUGUCACUCUACCCUUAUUCCUUGGCAAGAACAAGUCAUAGGGCCGAAGCUAACUAUACAAGGAUCAAGUAGGGAGAUGGGAACAUAUGACAUUAACUCUGGUGAUGAAAUUACCUUCAAAUUUUAGUGAACUCCUUCAUAAGGCAAGAGAGACAUCACCCUCUGGCCCCAGCCUACUUAGCUAUCUGUCUUUAUAGCUGUAGUACCUCAAGGCCUGUCUGGGCUGUUUUGGUUGAGUUUCCAUACUCCCUUUUUUCCACCUGGCUGAAGCCUCUAUUUACUUCAAAACUCAAGGAGUGGACAUGUGGCUUAGCAGUUAACCUGCCACUUGAGAUGCCCAUGUCCCAGACUGGAGUACUUAGAUUUGAGUCCUGUCUCUACUUCUGAUUCCAGUUUCCUGCUAAUGCAGAGCCUGGGAAGCAGCAGUUGUGGCUCAAGUGGUUGCAUUCUUGCCACCUAUGUGGGAGAUCUGGAUUGGGUUCUUGGCUCUAAUUUCAACCUAACCUCAAUCUGCCCUAACCCCAGCUAUUGUGGGCAUUUGAGAAGUAAACCAAUGGAUGGGAGUGUGCUUAUUCUCUUGCUUACUCUCUCAUUUGCUGUUGCUGUUGCAAAAUAAUUUUAAAACAAAACCUCAAUCAACUCCUCCAGGAAACAUCCUUCCUAAGGCUGAUUAACUACUGGUUCUGUUCUACUAUAUUCCCAAAAAACAUCUCUGUCAUAAUAUUUAUCAUGUUGUAUUACUUUUUUCAUCUUUCAGAAUGUUCUUUUAAAGCCAUAGGCUAUAUUACAUUUCUACCUUUCUCAGUAUCUAUUACCAUAAUCACUAUCUAAAUAAUCAUUGCAAUCAAUGCCGCCUUUUAGAGAGCAUUUGGGAAGUUUUCAUAUAAGUGUUGGGUUGUCUCAAUAAUUGGGAAAUACUACAUUCAGGGUAGGGGCUGUAGAUGAUUAACAUCUUGCAUUAAAUAGGACAGUCCCUCAUAUGAACUGUCUCCUGUUCUGCAAGACUUAAAUAUAUUCCACUGAAUCUUCCAAUAGAUGAAAAACCUGUUUGUAUUUGUCUAAAACUAGAACCUAGUUCAGUUUUACAUAUAAAUGUUGUUUCAGUUGUCUAUUGGUAUGCAAUAAAACAGCCCAAAACUUGAAGGCUUAAAACAACUCAAGUUUACUAUCCCAAGAUCCUGUGGGAUGACUGACUCAGUGGGGCUGUUCUUUCCACGUGAGGUUGACUGGCACUGCAUUAGCUAGGGCUUCCAGUGGCUCACACAGGUGGGUGAUCCUGGGGUCUGGAGACACCAGCAGAAGCACUUUGGACUUCUUCAUGAGGGCUUUUCACAUUGCUUGAACUUCUCAUAUUGUAGUAGCUGGGUUCCAGGAGAGUGGCUAAUGGUGCGACAAUCCUCAUUAGGAGUGGGCUCAGAAGUUCCAGAGCAGCAUUCAGCAGCUUUCUGUUGAUCAAGGCUAAAUCAAGGCAGGUUCUCAACUUUCAGGUAGGAACAUGUAAACUCUGCUUCUUGAUUUUAGAGGGAGCCUCUUAUUCACAUAAAAGAAGGUUUGGUUUUUUUUUUUAACUUCUUUUUUUUUAACUUUUAUUUAAUGAAUACAAAUUUCCAAAGUACAGCUUAUGGAGUACAAUGGCCUCCCCCGAAUAACUUCCCUCCCACCUGCAACCCUCCCCUCUCCCGCUCCCUCUUCCCCUCCAUUCACAUCAAGAUUCAUUUUCAAUUCUCUUUAUAUACAGAAGAUCGGUUAGCAUAUAUUAAGCAAAGAUUUCAACAGUCUGCACCCACACAGAAACACAAAGUGAAAAAUACUGUUUGAGUACUAGUCAUAGCACUAAAUCACACUGUACAGCACAUCAAGGACAGAGAUCCCACAUGAGGAGUAAGUGCACAGUGACUCCUGUUGUUGACAACAAUUUGACACUUUUGUUUAUGGUGUCAGUAAUCUCCCUAGGCUCUAGUCAUGAGUUGCCAAGGCUAUGGAAGCCUCUUUAACUAUACAUAGAUUAUAUUUUAUUAAUUUAAUAUCAGGAUAGUAACAGAAUUGUUGCAAAAAGUUAUAAGGAGGAGGCACAGUGCUAAGAUUGUAUAAAAAACACACAAAUACCAAUCAAUCUAUGCAAAUUGAACUAAGAAUACACUGGCUUUCCUGUUGAUUCUAUGUUUAUAUCCUCCUUGACCUUAAUUUUCUACUUUGAUUUAUAUUUUACUAUUUCCAAAUAUGUGCUCAAAACCUAAAUCAAUGCAAAUCUCCAAGCAAUAACAAGCAGAGUAAAUAGGAAAUAACUAGCUCUCUGUUUUUCCCAAUUACUAAAAUGUGUAAUUCCUAUAGAAUAGAUAGUAUUUAUCUUUUUUUUUUUUUUUUUUGACAGGCAGAGUGGACAGUGAGAGAGAGACAGGGAUAAAGGUCUUCCUUCUGUUGGUUCACCCUCCAAUGGCCGCUGCUGCUGGUGCGCUGUGGCUGGCACACCAAGCUGCUCCAAAGCCUGGAGCCAGGUGCUUCUCCUGGUCUCCCAUGGGGUGCAGGGCCCAAGCACUUGGGCCAUCCUCCACUGCCUUCCCUGGCCACAGCAGAGAGCUGGCCUGGAAGAGGGGCAACCGGGAUAGAACCAGCGCCCCGACUGGGACUAGAACCUGGUGUGCUGGCGCCGCAGGCGGAGGAUUAGCCUAUUGAGCCGCGGUGCCAGCCAAUAGUAUUUAUCUUUAAAAUUUAUUUUUCUGCCAGUAAAAUAGUUUUGUAUUUUCUAGUUUGAAUUGGAUUAAUAAUCUUUAGAUAUGUUUAUUUAUAUACCUUAAUAUGGAUAGUUCUCAAUUAUCAUCUACAUAAUCUUUUUUUGGAAUGAAACUGAAAUUAUACAUAACUUUUUUAGAUUUCUGACUUGCAAAGUGCUUCAGCUCACAAUAAGAUAUUCUCAAGAGGGAAAAGUACCAUUAGACCUUUUAGUGAAGCCAAUCUGUACACAAAUGUAUUUCCCCAUGACUUUCCUUAAAAUAUUAAAUACUGUACAUAGAAUAUAUUUAGCAUCUGAAGCUGCAUUCUGUAGACCUGUAACUACUGAUAGUCUAUUCCUGUGACCUACUACUGAUCAUGCAAGUGUAGUAUGUGAGUCUAUAUUCAAAGGUUUGUUUUUCAGCAUUCCUUCAUACCAAAAUACAUAAGUUGUUACCUGAUUAUUGAAUCAUCAAGAUUUUUGCAUGAAAUGCUUUUGAAAGCAAGUUGACAAAAAAAACAGAUAAAUUUACUUAUUGUCCUUUGCUGAGGGCUCUUAAAAAUAUUAUUCUCCUGUUCUAGUAGAUAGAGGCUACCCUCCUGGCGGGUAGACAAAUAUUGAGCAUUGCUUCUGGUGAAUAGACACGACAUUCCUGUUCCAGUAGAUAGAUGCUAUUCUCCUGGUCUGACUGGCAGAAAUCUGCCCCCUGGUCUGAUAGAGAGGCAAGAUCUCAAACUAAAAGUCUUAUAAAUCAUUCAGCAUCUACUCAGGAAACAAAUAAUCUCCGUUACCACUGAUGUAAGGCAUGAAUGGCCCCUGAGAAGUAUGUUAUGGAAAGGAUGUACGAGACGUAAUUCCUUAACUACUGUUGCUACAAUAAGCUCCAGUAAACAUUCUCUAUUUCCCUUCUUAAUCUAUUUUGAGGAGGGCAAGAGAAAUCUAGCUUCACAUCAAGCUUCAUCCACAUGAUUUGUAAAACUUAUCACUGGUGUGAAGGUCUCCUGAAUAUUUGACCACCAAGAAAAUCCCCCUAAGCCAACCACUCUGUUGACUCCAGUUUUAGUGUGGGAAACUGGGUCAACCUCAAUUCUAGUGUGGCAAGAGAAAAGUCACUUUUACCUUAAAAGUGAAAAUACUCACUGAUUUAACCAUUAAUAUUCAAAACACUGGCAACACUAAAUACCAAAGGUAAUUACAGAUUUUUUUAACAUAAUCUUCUUUGUCACCUUUUUUUCUUACUGAAAUCAGUCUUUCCUUAACAAGUUAAAAAAUCUGCUUAACUUUUUACCAAGGAAAAUAUAACAAGAAAACUAGGUCAUAGUAAGUUCUAGAAGUCAACCCUCUUAUAUUGUUUGUAAUAUAGGUGAGGUGCAUGGUGUAAGUGAUUAAUAUCUUAUUAGCUGACAUUCUUUAUCCUUACUUCAAAGCAAUAUAAACUUUCUAGAAAUGAACAUUGGUGUCUCUAAGCCUUCUAAAAAUUGUGUCUCCCGAAGAUGUUCACAGAAUAGAAUGGAAGAUUAAAUUAUAUUGAUAAACAGAAGCAUUGUUUCAAAGAAUGUGCAUGCACAUGUGUGCAUGUAGAUGCAUGUACAUACUUGUGGGUGUUUUGGCAUGUGUGAGUGAAUAUAAAAUAUCUGCCUCCAACAAUCUAUUUUCUAGCUGCCAUCACAGAACUGAAAGACUACCUCUAAAUGUCUUUCUUUACCCUGACAUAAAAUAGUACCAAAAAAUCCUGUCCAAGAAAAGUACAUCCCUCAUUUCAGUGUUUAAAAAUAACCUACUGGCCAGUAAUACUGUGAUUCUUUUUUUUUUUUUUUUUUUGAGAAAAGCCAGCAUAAAGCACUUUAUAGCAGUAAUAAAACUCAAAACUCAUAUGUAAUGCUGGGGGCAGCAAGUAUCUUUUGCCAAAUCACUACACAGGACAGAGAAUCAGAUCAGCACAGAGAGCCAAGCAUCAAACACUGGGAGAUGCAGAAGCUGCAGUGAUAUGACUAGCAUAAUCACUUUCUCAAGAAAACACUCAAAGAUGUGUCAUGAUGCCUGGGCUUUUCUUGGGUGAAGAUCUACAAAUGGCUCCUUCAAUUUAAACUUUUAAUUCAAAUUUCUUAAAAUUUAAAAAGUGUUGGAAUUUGGAUAGUUAAGAGACUAUAAAAGUUCUGAAAAUCUACUAGAGAAAUCACAGGAUGGGGAAAAAAAAUAAGCUAGGUCACAAAGAAGGCUUCAGUGGUCCCUGCUGCCCAGGGAAGGUACCUGUAGUGUCUAGCAUUACAGUGAAGUGAUUUGGUACAAGAGACAGAGGUUUUCUUGGAGGCUGGGCUGGGGCUGUGGAGGCAAAGGCCAUCCCUAGUUCAUCCUGGGCAGGGCUGUUAUCCAUCCCUAGGCCUCUCUCUGAUUGGAGAAUAAUUCAGCCCUCAUCAGCAUCUCACAUCUGCUGUAGCUUUUCAGUGCAGCAAGACUGCUUAAUACAUAAUAGAUGCAAAUUUCAUCCAAAAAAUAGAUUCUUACAAACCCCAUCCACCCAACACUAACUCCUAUUCUAAAGGUAUCCAAUCACUUCUGCUGCUGAUACCUGAACACAUCUUAACUGGAAGCCUAGAUCCAAGACUGGAACAGAAUCUUCACUCCAAAAUAAGAAAAACAUAAAAUGAGUCACUUGUUUACGGAGUGUCAUUUAGGCGAACACACAUGCAAGCAGGGAAAGAGGAAAUGGGGCUGUGAGAGGCAAAGCUGAAUGACAGAACACAGUCUGGCAGAUGUUUGUACGGAGUUUGCUAUGGAAUCACAGCAAAGCUCUGGAUGGAUUUGUGUGCACGUGUCUGGAGUACCAGACCCCCUCCAUGGCAGAUCCAAGACCAGGGAGCUAAGGGAGGAGGCCAUUCCUGUCACUCCAGUUUUAGAAGCUCAACAUCAAAACCCAUAGUGCCAGGUGGUGGGUUGAUGCCCAGUAGUACCAUAGGCAUAGCCUGGGGUGAUGGUCAGUUUGGCUGGCUGAGCCACACUCACCUGGGUCAACUCUUCUUCCCAGCUUUGGAUCAUCACCUGCUUGGCCAGCAUAUACUUAAAGGACUUGUUUCCGUCUUGAGAGGAAUUAAAUUUCUUUGUAUUUUUGAGUAUGCUGGUUUAGUGCACCACGCAGGUCUGGCUGUGCUUGUCUCCUAGGGGAGACACUACCUUGGUGGCGGUGGGUGGCAAGAUGAGCAGUGUGGACAAGAGCAGACUUAUAGCAGCUCUGUUCUUCCAGUAAUGUUACAAUUCUAACAUUCAAAAUACUUGUGGAGUUUUAGCUUAUUGAAGUAAUUGUUUUUCUGUAAAUUGCACAGAUCUGAUCAAUAUUGAAUAAACUAUUCAAAGUAUCAAAAUCUCACUGUAAUGAUUCUGUCUUUUGAGUGACUGAUGAUAGAGCUGACUUGCCAUAGACUCCUACAGAAAUCGUGUGCUAAGUCAUGUGAAUUUAUCACCACAUGUAGUUAUAAUGUCCUAUUGUUAAAGUCAGAGAACUUUUGGGGCUAUUGUACAGUUUAAUUUAUUUGACCCCCAUUGAUAUAAGGAGUCUCCGAAAGUUCAUGGAAGGAGUUGGCGUUGUGGUACAGUGGGUUAAGUCACCUGUUGCAAUCCCGGCAUCCCAUAUUGCAGCACUGAUUUGAUCCAGAUUUGCAUCCCUGUUUAUGUGCUGGAAUAGUAGCUGAAACUUUCCUGGGUACUUAGGUCCCUAGCACCAAUGUGGGAGAACUAGAUGGAGUUCCAGGCUCCUGGCAUUGCCCCAGGCAUUCUGGCCACUUGGAGGAGUGAACCAGUAGAUGGAAGAUCUCUUUAUUUGUCUCCCCUUCUCUUUCUCUUUCACUCUGCCAUUCAAUUUUUUUAAAGUUCAUAAAAGUGCUUUUUUACUAAAAAUCUUUAUAUAAAUAUCAAAAUUUUUUGCACCAAAAUAAAAUUAUCUUAAAAUUCCAUUUUCCAUGAACUUAUUUUUUAUUUCUUUAUUCAAGAGGCGGAGAGAGAAGGUAAGGGAGAUAGACAGAGCUCCCCUCUGCUGACUCAUUCUCUGAUUGCCCAAUGUAUACACCAAAUCCAGGAGUUGGGAACUCAACUUGGAUCUCCUAUGUGGGUGUCAGGGACCUAACUGCCUGAGUCAUCACCUGUUGUCUUUCAGGUUAUGUCCAUUUUGUUGCAAAUGGCAGAAUUUCUUUUUUUUUUUUUACUAUUGUGUAGUAUUCCAUGGUAUAUACAUCCCAUAAUUUCUUUAUCCAGUCUUAGUUGAUGGACAUUUGUCUUAAUUCCAGAUUUUAGCUAUUGUGGUACUGAUUUCAUUUUCCUUGGGUAGAUUCCCAGGAGUGGGAUGGCUGGGUCAUAUGGUCGGUCUAUAUUCAGAUUUCUGAGGUAUCUCCAUAUUGUCUUCCACAGUGGCUGUACAAGUUUAAAUCCCCACCAACAGUGGAUUGGGGUAUCUUUUCCCCCACACCCUCACCAGCUUCUAUUGUUUUUUGAUUUUUGUGUGAAAGCUAUCCUAACGGGGGUGAGGUGAAAUCUCAUUGUGGAUUUGAUUUGUGUUUACCUGAUGUCUAGUGAUCCUGAACACUUUUUCAUGUGUCUGUUGGAUAUUUGGAUUUCCUCUUUUGAAAAAUUCCUGUAGAAGUCCUUUUUCCAUUUAUUAACUGGGUUGUUUGUUUUGUUGUUGUUGCAUUUCAUGAGCUCUUUAUAUAUUUUGGAUGCUAAUCUUUUAUCAAAGUUGCGUAGUUUGCAAGUAAUUUCUCCCAUUCUAUCAGUUGCCUCUUCACUUUGCUGAGUGUUCCUUUUGCAGUGCAGAAGCUCCUCAGCUUGAUGUCAUCCCAUUUGUCAAUUUGGGCUUUGAUUGCCUGUGCUUCUAGGGUCUUUCCAAGAAGUCUUUGCCUAUGCCAAUGUAUUGCAGGGUUUCCCCAAUGUUUUCUAAUAAUUUGAUGUUAUUGCAUUGUUGAUUUUGAUCUUUAAUCCAUUUUCAGUAGAUUUUUGUGUAGUAAGGUGUAGGAUAGGGGUCUCGCUUCAUACUUCUGCAUGUGGAGAUCCAGUUUUCCCAGCACCAUUUGUUGAAGAGACUGUUUUUGCUCCAGAGAUUGAUUUUAGCUCCUUUCUCAAAGGUAAAUUGUUUGUAGAUGCAUGGGUUGGCACCUAUAAUUUCUACAAGGUUAUUCUCUUAAGUCUAUUUACCAGACUGAUUAAAUAAUAAUCAAAUGAUCAAAACUAGCAUUGAGAACCCAGAAAACCCUGUGUCUUUCAGAAGUUGGCUUAUGAAAUUAUUUAGGCUAUUUAAUAGUUUGCAAACAAAAAGCACUAAUUUGGAGACGGAGAAGCCUGACUUCAAAACCUAUUUUUACCGUUUACUAGUUCUGUAAUCUGUAUCCAUACUUAACUUCUCUGUGCCCCAAUUAAGUCAGUCAUGAAAUGCAAAGAAUGACCUUUGAUUUCCAGGGUUGUUAUAAGAAUAACAGAAUAAUCCUGUAUAUAAUAGAUUCAUAACAUUUUAUCAUUCUUUAAAAUAAAGCCAUGGAACAGUAUCUAUAUGGAUAAAGGAAAACUGAUUAAUGUGGAAAACAAAAUUGCUUCAUGCUUUAACAGUUUCUUCCCAUAAUAUAUUAACUUUCUUUUAAAAAAAUAGUGGCUGCUAAGUUUCAUGUCAAUUGAGAUAAACAACCUCAAGUUAAUUUACAAUAAGUUGUCACUUUAUAAGCCACUUCUCUUUUUUGUUUCCUCUUUAAUUAAUAGUGCUCCAAAUGUUGUCUCAAUCUUCCUUUCUUCCUUCUCACUUUGCAACUGUGUGAUUCAAAAUAAAUAAAUAGACUUUUAAAAAAGACAUAUAUGUCCUAAAUAGCACUCUGGCCUCAGAAUCAGCCCUAAAGGCAUUCGGAGCUGGCUGAAAAGCUCAUGAGAGUAUUUCAGGCAUGGAAAGCCAAGACACUCUGGCAAAAGAUCUCUGUGAGUGAGAUCUCAGUGGAAAGAACAGGUCUUCAAAGAAGGAGGUACCUUUCUCUGAAGGGAGGAGAGAACCUCCACUUUGACUAUGACCUUGUCUAAACAAGAUAAGAGUCGGAGAACUCAGAGGGCUUCCAUAGCCUUGGAAACUCAUGACUGGAGCAUAGGGAGAUUACUGAUGCCAUAGACAGGAGUGUCAAUUGGUAAAGUCAACAACAGGAGUCACUGUGCACUUACUCCUCAUGUAGGAUCUCUAUCCUUAAUGUGCUGUACAUUGAGAUUUAAUGCUAUAACGAGUACUCAAACAAUAUAUUUCACUUUGUGUUUCUAUGGGGGUGCAAACUGUUGAAAUCCUUACUUAAUGCAUACUAAACUGAUCCUCUGUAAAAAAAAAAAAAAAAAAAAAAAAAAAGAAAAGAAAUUAUCAAUUCCCAACUUGACUCUCACUGGGAUUAAACAUGACAAUAGGUCUGAUCUGAUUUCAUCAUCAUUUAAAAAAAAUCAUCUAUUAUUUUUCACUUUAUGUUUCUGUGUGGGAGCAAACUGUUGAAAUCCAUACUUAAUGUAUACUAAGCUGAUCUUCUGUAUAUUAAGAUAAUCGAAAAUGAAUCUUGAUGUGAAUGGAAGGGGAGAGGGAGUGGGAAAG